UACGAAGGGGGCUAGCGUUGCUCGGAAUCACUGGGCGUAAAGCGCACGUAGGCGGAUUGUUAAGUCAGGGGCGAAAUCCUGGAGCUCAACUCCAGAACUGCCUUUGAUACUGGCGAUCUCGAGUCCGGGAGAGGUGAGUGGAACUGCGAGUGUAGAGGUGAAAUUCGUAGAUAUUCGCAAGAACACCAGUGGCGAAGGCGGCUCACUGGCCCGGUACUGACGCUGAGGUGCGAAAGCGUGGGGAGCAAACGGG
rnacentral:rRNA from 1 species